CAGAUGGAGGAAGAUAAGUCCGGUCCAUUUAGUGCGAUCAGCACUUUAGUUUGUUAUUGAAUGUAAUUAGUUGUUUUCAUGUGAACCUUGAAAAAAAGCAACAAAAAAACAAACAUUGUAAUUAACCUACAGAAUCAAUGUAACCAGUAAAGAAGGCACCUCAUCUGUGGAUAAGAGCACCUCAUGUGGGCGGUUUGAAAGCAACCACAGACUCAUUUUCAAGGUGUGAUGACUGUCAGCCAUAAUGCCGGUCAGCGUGAGCCUGGCUGCAGUUGAGCAGAGUGCUGGAAGGCCUGUGCGAUUACCCCUGCCCCCCUGCUGCGAGCACUGCAGCAGUGGAGGGACUGAGAGGGAGAGUGAGAGAACCUUUUGGCGACAGCAACCCUGAGAGAGAUGCAGAAAGCACGUCCCCUGGGGAGAAAAGCUGCCUCAGGCUUCAGAAAGCCUAUUUACAACAAGCUGUGCUUGUUACUUUCAUCAAAAUAGAGCACUGAGCUUUUCUCUUGCCUUGUUUUUUUGUGCUUUUGGCAGGAGGUUGUUAUUGUAAAGCACUGACUCCAUUGUGCUCAGCGGUGCGGUGAAAGUCUAGCUGUCCACGGCCACAGAGAAGACAAGAGAGGACAGACGGUUGGACGUAAGACGCACCUUUUUUCCCUGAGACUCCGGCCUGUUUUAUAGACUUUGAAGGAGUGUCUUUGGGAGGAGUAGAGAAACUUGCUAUAUCACCAAAUUUUGCCAACCUUUGAUCCUCAACUGUCCUCCAUCAAGUUCAAUUAGAUGAUUGUUGGUCUCUGGCGGGCACAUUUGUCAUAAUCUAUCGAGUAUGGCGCAUUCCAGAUGUUGAAGGAGAGGACAGAAAAUCAAUAAACUGGAUUGGGCUGCCAGGCCCUGAGGGAGGUCUCCUUACCCCGGCUUGCGUAGCUCAGGCUCAACUCUCCUA